CCCUCUAAGCCUUCUUUCGGGCUUGCUUUGUUGUUUUAAAAUAUGCAUGUCUCUCAGGAAUGCCAGUCACGAGUCCAAACUUUGUGUCCAACCUCCCACAUGAAAUGAUCCUUUUAUAGGGAACCCGAUAUGUCUCAAUCUGCACUUCACUCAAAGCCUCUGGAUAUGGGGCACUGGUCCCUGCUCAAAAAUAACUGAGCAGAUACGCGUUUCCACCUAAAAAAAUCCCCACGAACGACUCCCAGGGAAGAAAUAUAGCUCCCAUAAUUAAAGAAGGCAGCGGUCAGAGGGGAAUGCAGCCUGAAAGGAAAAAAAAGUAAGAGUUUUACUUCUUUUCUGAUUGCACUUGGGGUGUCAUUAACAGCAGGUUUAUCAACAUAAGGCACCCGUAGCAAACAAAGUGUUGCGUGUACACGGGAAAGAAAGAUUGAGCAAACGAAGACCAGAGGAGAAGGCAGAAGAAAGAUUAAGGAACACAGUCCAACUUCGCGAAAGAAACCCCCUUGAAGUCUUUUUGCCAAGACAAGUAUCAGACAUGCCUAAGAACGAAACAAUUCUUGGUGGGGGCAGAAAAGGAAGUCAUUUUUUUUCCAGUAAGAAAAAAAAAAAAGGUGAGAAAUAUCGUUGUCUUCUGUGUCUAUUAAAAACAGGCAUUUAAAAAUCACUGCUAGUUAAAAUUCCUUUCAGCUAUAGACGUAACUAAUCAAGUUUUAAGGGUGCAAAACUUUGGCAGAGACCAUAUUCCUCGAGAUAAGCACGGUCAUUCAUUUGAAGUAACGUGGCAUUCUUUAUCACAGAGCCUUUCCUCUUCAGAUUCAACACUGUACAACUUUCCAGUCUAUUUAUUUUACAUGCUGCCGGCUGAGUCGUCUGUACCUGGUAAAUGCUUAUGCUCAGAGCGAACAUUCUUCACAUUUAGGACCCUCGAUGUUGCUUCCCGUCUACCCCAGGAUGAGAAAGCUGCUGCUUUAUCAAGGAGGGAGCUGAGGCUUUGUUAAGUGUUGCUUAAAACUUUUUCCCAGGCUCAAACUGAUUUUUAUUUUAUUUUAUUGCAUUGAGAUUAAUGGACUAUUAGUUAAAAGGAAGAGAAACAACUCAAGAGGCUCCCAGUUAGUCGCUCUGGUACAAGCAAGGGGGAAAAAAAUCCACAUUCAAAUGGAGAGAAAGACCCUCCUGGAUUUUGGAUCUGAUACACAUUUUGGUGGUAAAACAGGUCCCGCCUACUUUCCUCCUCUUUUUCAAAGAUAAGAAACUUUAACUAGAUACGUCUGGGUACCGACAACUUAAAUUACUGCAAAGCGCAAGUGUGUGGUAAAAUGUUGAUAAACCAUCGAAGUCACUGUAAUAACCAUGCAUCAUUCACUUGAGUCUCUCCAUUUGGGGUCUGGAAGCAAACGCGGGCUAAAUGUGUUUGUUCCCUAAUAAACAAGCAGAAAUAGGAAGAACCCAACUCGUGGUCUUUCCCUUUUAACUACGGAAGCAGGAAGGCACUUCCGCUCUCCAAUGAUCUCAGUUGACUCCAGCCUCUGAGUAGUUUUGGUACACUAAUAAUAUCACUUUGUUUGUCUCUGAUGACUAGUCUCUUAAUCCCAAAUGUCCUUUACGGUAAGGAGGGAACCAAACAAAGCAAGAAGUGAAGGAGAUUUUCUUUUCCCACUUUUUGGAAGAGGGAGUUGCUCUUUUGAAUAUUAUUUGUAAAUUGCAUUUUUAUAUCAGAACAACCGAGCAUCCGUUUUCAAUUCCAAAACAUCUAGGAGAGGAUUUUUUUCUUAUGCUUAAUCAUCUGAAACAUAUAAGUGUAGGCAAUGUGAAGUCAACAAAGACUAAAGGGCUGUCAUGAUAAGUUGAUGUUAGGCUAUUACCAUUUCAACAGAGUCAGACCACCACCAG